rnacentral:rRNA from 1 species
UACGGGGGGGGCAAGCGUUGUUCGGAAUUACUGGGCGUAAAGGGCUCGUAGGUGGCUUGUCACGUCGGGUGUGAAAGCUUGGGGCUUAACUCCAGGUCUGCAUUCGAUACGGGCUGGCUAGAGGUAGGUAGGGGAGAACGGAAUUCCUGGUGUAGCGGUGAAAUGCGCAGAUAUCAGGAGGAACACCGGUGGCGAAGGCGGUUCUCUGGGCCUUACCUGACGCUGAGGAGCGAAAGCGUGGGGAGCGAACAGG